UACGUAGGGACCAAGCGUUGUUCGGAUUUACUGGGCGUAAAGGGCGCGUAGGCGGCCACCGCAAGUCGACUGUGAAAUCUCCGGGCUUAACCCGGAAAGGUCAGCCGAUACUGCGGGGCUAGAGUGCAGAAGGGGCAACUGGAAUUCUCGGUGUAGCGGUGAAAUGCGUAGAUAUCGAGAGGAACACCUGCGGCGAAGGCGGGUUGCUGGGCUGACACUGACGCUGAGGCGCGAAAGCUAGGGGAGCGAACGGG
rnacentral:rRNA from 1 species